rnacentral:tRNA from 1 species
GACCUCUUAGCUCAGUGGUAGAGCGUGAGAUUCCAGCUCUAUUUGGAAGCUCCUCAAGGUCAUCCGUUCAACUCGGGUAGGGGUCA